rnacentral:rRNA from 1 species
GACGAACGCUGGCGGCGUGCCUAAUACAUGCAAGUUGAGCGAUGAAGAUUGGUGCUUGCACCAAUUUGAAGAGCAGCGAACGGGUGAGUAACGCGUGGGGAAUCUGCCUUUGAGCGGGGGACAACAUUUGGAAACGAAUGCUAAUACCGCAUAACAACUUUAAACAUAAGUUUUAAGUUUGAAAGAUGCAAUUGCAUCACUCAAAGAUGAUCUCGCGUUGUAUUAGCUAGUUGGUGAGGGAAAGGCCCACCAAGGCGAUGAUACAUAGCCGACCUGAGAGGGGGAUCGGCCAAAAUGGGACUGGGACACGGCCCAAAAUCCUACGGGAGGCAGCAGGAGGGAAUCUUCGGCAAUGGACGAAAGGCUGGCCGGGCAACGCCGCGUGAGUGAAGAAGGGUCUCGGAUCGUAAAACUCUGUUGGUAGAGAAGAACGUUGGUGAGAGUGGAAAGCUCAUCAAGUGACGGUAACUACCCAGAAAGGGACGGCUAACUACGUG